GUUUGAAAUAGAAAUAUUUAUUGUCUCAAAAUAUCUUGCAAAAUUUACUCUACGUAUAACAUAAAUAAUAUAAUUAAUAAAUUGAUUACGUAAUAAUAGUUUUGAGCCGUAAACGGAUCAAACUUAAAUGUAUAAUCAUGCGAAAUGUGGUUAGCACAUCCUUAAUCUUCGUUUAAGUUUAUAACGUCACCUUUAACCAACACCGCUAGCUGUCAAACCACAAGAGGCCCAGGCUCGAUUUGCCCGCGCCCGCCUGUGCCUUGGCGCAUGCGGGACUGUCAAAAAUUAGGAGUAAAUACAGGAAAAGUAUUUACUAUAAGGAAACGGCUAAAUGUUUAAUUAUAAGCUCAGGAAUUUCAUUGGUUUUUCCUUGUGACAAGAAGAAGUAGUAUACGGAGUUUAAACAAGUUCCGGCGUAAUUCUUUUUACACUUUUUACUCGAGCUUCUUUCGAAUCAAGAAGUCAAUACACGGACGUUUGACCGCGGUGUUCUCCCAAAUUCGUUCCCAGGCCUAUACAAAGCCCUGGGAACGAGGUGGUUGCGUCACUUCUAAUGAACACGGAGUGAUCCCCCAGUAUAUUUCUAAUAAAAGUGAUCAUUUAAAUAUUGUAAAGUGAGACAUACGGUUAGACUAAUUACGUGCGGAAAUUGUUACUGAUUUUUGAGCCGAAAAUGGUAACAAUGCCCGCACGUAAUACAAACAUAUACAAAAUUUGCAAACUUUGCAAGACUACAUGGCCAAGCUUUACAACAUUUCGCAUCGAUUUUCAGCGUUUCAAGACUAAUAGGAUGCAACCAAAUUUUGCAAUUUUACUAAUUUCAUUAUGUUCUUAUCUGUGGUGUUUGAUUCCCUUCUCUUUACUUAGAUUAAAAUUUAGUCUAAAGACUGCUUUCCAGUUAAGCGUUUUUCAUACGUGCGUGUACACACGGAAAAGUUUAAAUCCUUUUAAAUUUUACUUAUGAAAAAACUAAUUGACCAUUUGCGUAAUAGACUAAAUUUUGAACUAAACAAGUCUAGACAAAAAUUUCAUCACAGCUUGAAGGAGCAUCACAAAAUUAGUAAUAUUUCAAAGUUUCGUUGCAAAAUGUUGUAA